rnacentral:snoRNA from 1 species
CCGCGAGGAUGAGAUACGGUGUCCUUUUCUGAGCGUGAAGGGGAUAGAGGAUUAUGGGUGUUUUUUCAUAAUCCUGUAUCAUUGAUGAUCGUUCUUGAUUUUCUGCGAGAAAUCAGAAGGGAAAGGACACGUUCUGAGUGGU